UAUCCAGACUCCUACGGGAGGCAGCAGUCGGGAAUAUUGCACAAUGGAGGAAACUCUGAUGCAGUGACACCGCGUAUAGGAAGAAGGUUUUCGGAUUGUAAACUAUUUUAGACAGGGAAGAAAAAAGACAGUACCUGUAGAAUAAGCUCCGGCUAACUACGUGCCAGCAGCCGCGGUAAUACGUAGGGAGCAAGCGUUAUCCGGAAUUAUUGGGUGUAAAGGGAGCGUAGACGGCGAUGCAAGUCUGAAGUGAAAGGCGGGGGCCCAACCCCCGGACUGCUUUGGAAACUGUAUAGCUGGAGUGCAGGAGAGGUAAGUGGAAUUCCUAGUGUAGCGGUGAAAUGCGUAGAUAUUAGGAGGAACACCAGUGGCGAAGGCGGCUUACUGGACUGUAACUGACGUUGAGGCUCGAAAGCGUGGGGAGCAAACAGGAUUAGAUACCCUCGUAACC
rnacentral:rRNA from 1 species